rnacentral:rRNA from 1 species
CGGCAGGCCUAACACAUGCAAGUCGAGGGGUAACAGAGAGAAGCUUGCUUUUCUGCUGACGACCGGCGCACGGGUGAGUAACGCGUAUACAAUCUGCCUUAUACAGAGGGAUAGCCUUUAGAAAUGAAGAUUAAUACCUUAUAGUCUAUUUUUAUAGCAUUAUAUAAAUAGUAAAGCUUCGGUGGUAUAAGAUGAGUAUGCGUCCUAUUAGUUAGUUGGUAAGGUAACGGCUUACCAAGACAACGAUAGGUAGGGGCCCUGAGAGGGGGAUCCCCCACACUGGUACUGAGACACGGACCAGACUCCUACGGGAGGCAGCAGUGAGGAAUAUUGGACAAUGGAGGCAACUCUGAUCCAGCCAUGCCGCGUGCAGGAAGACGGCCCUAUGGGUUGUAAACUGCUUUUAUAUAGGAAGAAACCUUUUCACGUGUGAGAAGCUGACGGUACUAUAAGAAUAAGGACCGGCUAACUCCG